UACGAAGGGGGCUAGCGUUGUUCGGAAUCACUGGGCGUAAAGCGCACGUAGGCGGAUCUUUAAGUCAGGGGUGAAAUCCCGAGGCUCAACCUCGGAACUGCCUUUGAUACUGGGGAUCUCGAGUCCGGGAGAGGUGAGUGGAACUGCGAGUGUAGAGGUGAAAUUCGUAGAUAUUCGCAAGAACACCAGUGGCGAAGGCGGCUCACUGGCCCGGAACUGACGCUGAGGUGCGAAAGCGUGGGGAGCA
rnacentral:rRNA from 1 species